rnacentral:tRNA from 1 species
GUCCCCUUCGUCUAGUGGCCUAGGACACCGCCCUUUCAUGGCGGUAACAGGGGUUCAAACCCCCUAGGGGACG